rnacentral:rRNA from 1 species
AGCGAACGCUGGCGGCAGGCCUAACACAUGCAAGUCGAACGGAUCCUUCGGGAUUAGUGGCGGAAGGGUGAGUAACACGUGGGAACGUGCCCUUUGGUUCGGAACAACUCAGGGAAACUUGAGCUAAUACCGGAUGUGCCCUUCGGGGGAAAGAUUUAUCGCCGUUGGAGCGGCCCGCGUCUGAUUAGCUAGUUGGUGAGGUAACGGCCCACCAAGGCGACGAUCAGUAGCUGGUCUGAGAGGAUGAUCAGCCACACUGGGACUGAGACACGGCCCAGACUCCUACGGGAGGCAGCAGUGGGGAAUCUUGCGCAAUGGGCGAAAGCCUGACGCAGCCAUGCCGCGUGAAUGAUGAAGGUCUUAGGAUUGUAAAAUUCUUUCAGCGGGGACGAUAAUGACGGUACCCGCAGAAGAAGCUCCGGCUAACUUCGUG